CUUGUACACUGUAAAGAUUCGUCACUCAAAUUGGUUUAAUAAAAUACCAAUAGCCAGGCAGGAAGUAUAGGUGGGGUAACCAAACUAAGGAUGAUGGGAAGGAAAAGGGUGGAGUCAGGAGUCUCCAGCCAGACACAGAGGAAGCAAAAAGAGAAUGCCGUACUCACAAAAGGUACCAAGCCACAUGGCUAAACAUAGAUAAGAAUAAUGGGUUAUUUUAAGUGUAGGAGCUAGUUAGUAAUAAGCCUGAGCUAAUGGCCAAUCAUUUAUAAGUAAUAUUAAGCUUCUGAGUAGUUAUUCAGGAACUGGUGGGAGGGAGAGAACCAUCUGUUUACAAGUAAUGGCUUGUCUUAGUUUUGUUUCCUGUUGCUGUGACAAAAUACUGUGAUCCACAGUUCCAGGUUAUACCUCACCAAAGUCACAGCAGCAGGAACUUGAGGGAGUUGGUCAUAUCACAUCCAUAAACAAGAAUAGAGUGUAAUGAAUAUAUUCGUGCCCAGCUAAUCUCUAUCAGAACACAGUCAAAAGAAUGACCAGUGGUGAACAAUGCCUUGGGGAACUGUAAGAGAAUCUCCAGGAAAAAAGGCAGAGGGUCUUUGACCUCAGGUACACUUGGUUCCCUGGAUUGUUCUUGGACAUGAUUCCAUGCCUCCUGUGACAAACAUUUACAAUUAAUUUAUGAUAUGUUUAUUCUUGUUGGAUGUCAGCACAAAACUGUAGAGCCCUAUCUGAUCAGUGGGCCCUGAAUCUGGAUCUGGCCUUCUGCCUGGCUUUCACGAUUUCUCAGAUAUAAUUGAUAGUACAUGCCAGGCAAUUGUGUUUCAACUGCUCUGCCCUGAGAAAAUUCUAGGAAAGGACUUCUCUGUUAAUAUUUAGUGUGUACUUACUAACAUUUAUUUACAUGUUUUUCUGAACUCAAACAACCUUCCUUAGAUCAUUGGAUGCUUUGUUUCAUUCAUGUAUAUAAAAGUACCCUGAAACUGAAGUAAGGUUUUCUACAGCAUUAGACUGUGGUCCAGCCCGUUCUUUCAGGUCCUCAGAUCCCAGGUCCAGCAGACAUGAUCUGCACAGGGUCCCCUGCAGCUGGAGGUAACAGAUGACUGGGGUUCACUACGUAGGUGCUGGGCAUUGAACCUGGAUCCUCUGCAAGAGCAACAAGUAUUCUACCACAGAGCAAUCUCUCCAGCCCCACUUCUUCACUCUUACACAGUUCAAGAUCUCCUGCCUACAGAAUGACUGAAGGCCAGCAGCUCUUCAGGAUUCCUUCAGGCUAUUGGCACUACAUUGGGACAACUGCCACAUCCAGCCUCACAAGACUGAGCAACUACUGAAUUCUUGGCCUCCCCAACAUGAAAUAGCCAUUUUGGACUACCUAGACUACAGUGUAUAAGCCCAUCUAGUAAAUCGCCUUUAAAUAUACAUUUGUUCUAUUGGCUCUGUCCUGGAGAACCUUAACUAAU